AACGAACGCUGGCGGCAUGCCUAACACAUGCAAGUCGAACGAGCCCUUCGGGUCUAGUCGCGCACGGGUGCGUCACGCGUCGGGACCUUCCCUUGUGUUCGGACUAACUCUCCGACUGGGGUGCUAAUACCGGAUCAUCUCUUCUAACCAAUGAUUUAUCGCCUUUGGUUGGUCCCGCGUUGGAUUAGCUAUUUCGGAGGCUAAUAGCAUACUACGGCGCCAAUCCAUAGCUGGUAAGAGAGGAUGCUCAGCCACACUGCGAGUGAGAAGCGGCCUAGAAUCCUACGGGAGGCAGCAGUGGGGAAUAUUGGACAAUGGGGGAAAGGAUGAACCAGCAAUGCCGCGUGAGUGAUGAAGGCAUUAAGGUUGUAAAGCUCUUUUAACCGGGAUGAUAAUGACAGUACCGGGAGAAUAAGCCCCGGCUAACUCCGUG
rnacentral:rRNA from 1 species